UACGUAGGGUGCGAGCGUUAAUCGGAAUUACUGGGCGUAAAGCGUGCGCAGGCGGUUCGUUGUGUCGGUGGUGAAAUCCCCGGGCUUAACCUGGGAAUGGCCAUGGAAACUGGCGAACUGGAGUGCGGCAGAGGGGGGUGGAAUUCCGCGUGUAGCAGUGAAAUGCGUAGAGGUGCGGAGGAACACCGAUGGCGAAGGCAGCCCCCUGGGCUAGCACUGACGCUCAGGCACGAAAGCGUGGGGAGCAAACGGG
rnacentral:rRNA from 1 species